GUGACAGCCCAGGAACGAUAUGCUUGUCAAACCUGUGUGCACUGCAGUUACUCUCAGAAACAUGCUGAAAGUCUCAGCUUACCUCAGGAAGUAAAUUUAAGCAUGUUUAUGCAAAUUGAAGACAAUGAAAAACUGGGAGGAGUGGCUGAUAGACCAGGUGCAUGUGCUUCCGUUCAGAGGGACACCAACAGGCUGGAGAGGUGAGCUAACGGGAAACACAUGAAACAACUAGAAAUGCCAAGUCCUUGCAGGAAAGGAUCUGUGUGUUCUAGUGGAUACCAAGUUGAACAUGAGUCAGCAAGAUUCCCUUGCAGCAAAGAAGGCCAACAGCCUCCUGUGAUGGAUGAGGAAGAAUGUUUUCAGGAGGGAUAGGCAAUGUGGACAAGGCAACAGAGAUAACAUGGCGACAACAUGGGUCUGUUACUUGAUGAGGAUGGUCACCUCAUAAAUAGACAAAGCAGAGACAUUUGAUGCCUUCCUUACCAGUGUUUAACACCAAUGAUGUGCCCUGGGAGCAUCACAGCCCUGAGUAGCAGGAAGGUAAUUGUAGAAACAAUGACCUCCCAGCUAACUGUGAGGUUGUACAUGAAUUGUUGUGCAACCUGGAUGCACACAGUCUUGGGAAUAUGAAGAGGUCCCAGGUGACUGGAUGAUCAUAAAUGUUGUCCCAGUUUUCAAGAAGGGCAAGAAAGAAGACUCUGGUAAUUACAGGACUAUCGGUCUCUCUUCAGUGCCUGGCAAAUUUAUGGAGAAGAUUAUUCUGGGAGUUAUUGAAAAACACUUGGAAGACAGUUCAGUCAUAAUUCACAGAGAACCAUGGGUUCAUGAAGGAAAAGUACUGUUUAACUAAAUUUCCCUUCAUGUCUAGCUGACCAAGAGAAGCCUGCUGAUGUAAUCUUUUUGGAUCUCAGCAGUUUUCAAUACUGUUUCUCACAGUAUCCUUUUGGACAAAAUGUCCAGCAUACAGUUAGAUAAUAGGAUGCGUGAUCAAUAAUAGGAUGGGUGAUCAAUCAGCUGAUCGGUAAAGCCCAAAUAGUUAUAAUAAAUGGAGUUACAUCAGGCUUGUGUCCAGUCACUAGUGGGGUACCUCAGGACUCCAUUUUAGGGACAGUUCUCUUUAAUGUUUUUACAGAUGAUCUGGAUGCAGGCCUUGAAUGAAUACUAAGCAAUUUUGCAGAUGAUACUAAGUUAAGAGGCACUGUUGACUCCCUCAUGGGUAGAGAGGCCUUGCACAGAAAUCUUUACAAAAUAGAGGGCUGGGCGUUCACCAACCAUGUGAAA